GGGCCCGCACAAGCGGUGGAGUAUGUGGUUUAAUUCGAUGCAACGCGAAGAACCUUACCAGGGUUUGACAUCCUGCGAAUUUCUGGGAAACCAGGAAAGUGCCUUCGGGAGCGCAGUGACAGGUGGUGCAUGGCUGUCGUCAGCUCGUGUCGUGAGAUGUUGGGUUAAGUCCCGCAACGAGCGCAACCCACGUCUUUAGUUGCCAGCAUUUAGUUGGGCACUCUAGAGAGACUGCCGGUGACAAACCGAGGAAGUGUGGAUGACGUCAAGUCAUCAUGCCCCUUACAUCCCUGGGCUACACACGUACUACAAUGCUACGGACAAAGGGCAGCAAGUUCGCGAGGACAAGCAAAGUCCCAUCAAACCAGUGGCUCG
rnacentral:rRNA from 1 species